ensembl:lncRNA
CCCCCUUGGAAUCCUUUGGUGCCCUUACCCCGGGCAGCUGGAGGCUCGCACUCAGAGAUUCCCCCACGGCGCUGCCUUCGGCUCCCCGGCUCCUCUGCCAGCACGGGGGCGGGACAUACAGGGCCCUGCUCUUCUGAGCCCGUGGCUCACUUAGAUCCAAUAACCCAGCGUAAAGUGACAUAGGUCGGUAGCAAGGUCGUUUCUUAACAUCCCAUGAUUAGGGCUGUGACUGCCCAGCCCCCUCACCCCAGGCUCCUUUCACUCUGCCUCUGUUUUCCUUCUAAGCUAGAAGCCAGCAGUGUUUCUGUUUAGAUUCCCAUUUCACAGAGUGGGCGGUAAGCCGUCCACCUUGGGGGGUUCCGACCUGAGCCCGUGGCUCAGUGACUGACCAAGAAUCCAACUAUGCAAGGAUUAGCCUGGCCGAUGGGGGUGGAGUGGGUGGGGUGGGGGGUGAGGAGGACAGGGGUUCCCAGGGAGGCACCAGCGGUGUUGGCUGGUGCCCUCUGUCCCUGGCCUCUCUCCCGCUGUGGGAAGGCGCCUCAGGAAGGGCCCAGGGCAAGGUGGGCCAGCCCUGCUUGGCCAGGGUCCGGUCCAUGCCCAUCCUGCAUGGCCCAGCCUUUGAGCACAGACCUGCAGCCCUGCCCCGCAGCUGUUGGCAGGAGGAAGGACCUAGCUUUAAUAAAGAGUGGACAAACGAGCCUUGUGCCUGGACUCCGUGUUGUUGCCCCUUCUCUGGCCCCUCAGGGAGGCCCUGCAGGGCUUCAGGCCCGUCUUAUUUCUGCAGAUGAUGUUAGGAGUGUCUCUUUUCAGAACCUAGAAUUGGCCUGUGCGGAGUCAGCCCAAGAGAGCUUCGACCCGUGCCGCCCGUGUCCACCAGGCCUUUUCAGGAGUCCCCAGCAGGCCUCCACACUGCCACCUACUCCUUGUAACACGCACACCUGUGUUGGGAUAUAGCCUCUAGGGUUAUUUUGGCCAGGCCCCGUUCCUGGCGGUCCAGACCUCUCUCCUGAGGCCCCAGCACCACACAGGUUUAUCCAGGCUCACCUGCUCUGUGCAGGCCAGAGCUCACCUCCCUGCACCUCAGACGCCUUCCUUUGAACUGACUCGUUUAUUUCUCACCACACGGUGUCCCCGCGCCCAGACCUGACCCUCCCAUCCUUUCCCCAGGGAAUUGAAAAAUACGAACUAUGAAGUCAAUUCUCUUUUGAAAUGUGGUUUGGAAGCAUCAGAACAGAACCCAGUAUUUCAGUAGCAGAUGGACACUAAGACCUAGUGUAAACUGGAUGGCCCUGAGGAGCUUAACGGCUCUUCAGAAAAGUUAUUCCCUGAUAGAGCGUACAGUUGUCCAGCCAGAUACUUGAUUUUAGGGGGGAAAUAAGGCAAUCCUGAUGGUUAUAUAAGAAAAGGUAGACUACCUCCUGGUUUUGAGAGGAUUUCCAAAUUUCUGGAGUCCUGAUUCAUUCCACAAAUGUCAGUCUAGCAUCUCGCAUCAUGGCCAAGGAGGAUCGGAAGCCCCCAGGGCCCCGUGAGACAUGGGCCGUAAAGGCGGCACUUUGAGAACUGUGAGGUCCUGAGCCCCCUCUGGUCUCCACUUAACCUUUAUUGCUUGAAUCUUCCCAUCCUCUUCCUUUUCUCCUGACACCCUUCCACGUAAUCCCUUCAAACAUUUCCUUAUAACUUUUUUUUCUUUUCCUAAUUGGCUACAUAUGGAAUAAAAAUAUUUUGAAGUUUUGGAUUAUAUUUAUUAAAUAAAGCUUUAUGAUCCUUGU